rnacentral:rRNA from 1 species
UACAGAGGUCCCGAGCGUUGUUCGGAUUCACUGGGCGUAAAGCGCACGUAGGCGGCUUUGUAAGUCGGAUGUGAAAUCCCUCGGCUUAACCAAGGAAGUGCAUCCGAAACUACAGAGCUUGAGUACUUAAGAGGAUCGCGGAAUUCCCGGUGUAGAGGUGAAAUUCGUAGAUAUCGGGAGGAACACCAGUGGCGAAGGCGGCGAUCUGGGAAGAUACUGACGCUGAGGUGCGAAAGCGUGGGAGCAACAGGA